AUCACAGUGAAAAAAAAUGAAACAGUUCACUUUAGUGAUGUAGAAAUGAUGGUCGGGUGAUAAUGCUGACUAUUUAAAAAAUAUGUGGCAAUUCUUUAUUCGUCCUCAUUCACCGGUAUGUUCGUAAUUUGUUUUGACAUGAAUGUGAAGAAAAACGGUCGACAGAUGACGUAUCUUGAAUUUGAGCGAUACUGGUUCCAAAAAGAAAAAAGGUCGGACACCCCCGUUCGUUGUACGUCAUUCAUAAUCUUGCAAUAUGUCACAAAGCGAGGAGCCGCUGUAUGUAUUCGUCAGCGUUCAUUCCGAGUAGUGCCCAAGUAGGAUUUAAGAAAUGCCAGUGAAUGAGGACACAUUGUAGCCGAAUG